GACGAACGCUGGCGGCGUGCUUAACACAUGCAAGUCGAACGGAAAGGCCCCUUUGGGGGUACUCGAGUGGCGAACGGGUGAGUAACACGUGAGUAACCUGCCCUUGACUUCGGGAUAACUUCAGGAAACUCGGGCUAAUACCGGAUAGGAAUCCUUGCUGCAUGGUGGGGGUUGGAAAGCUUCGGCGGUUUUGGAUGGACUCGCGGCUUAUCAGCUUGUUGGUGGGGUAGUGGCUUACCAAGGCUUUGACGGGUAGCCGGCCUGAGAGGGCGACCGGCCACAUUGGGACGGAGAUACGGCACAGACUCCUACGGGAGGCAGCAGUGGGGAAUAGUGCACAAUGGGCGGAAGCCUGAUGCAGCAACGCCGCGUGCGGGAUGACGGCCUUCGGGUUGUAAACCGCUUUCAGCAGGGGCGAAGCUUUUGUGACGGUACCUGCAGAAGAAGCACCGGCUAACUACGUG
rnacentral:rRNA from 1 species